UGGGGAAUUUUGGACAAUGGGCGCAAGCCUGAUCCAGCCAUGCCGCGUGAGUGAAGAAGGCCUUCGGGUUGUAAAGCUCUUUCGGUGAAGACGAAACGGUUAGCGUUAAUAGCGCUGACUAAUGACGGUACUCACAGAAGAAGCACCGGCUAACUACGUGCCAGCAGCCGCGGUAAUACGUAGGUGGCAAGCGUUGUCCGGAUUUAUUGGGCGUAAAGCGCGCGCAGGCGGUCUGAUUAGUCCGGGGUGAAAUCUCACGGCUCAACCGUGAGCGGUCCCCGGAUACUGUCAGUCUUGAGGGGUCUAGAGGAGAGCGGAAUUCCCGGUGUAGUGGUGGAAUGCGUAGAUAUCGGGAAGAACACCAGUGGCGAAAGCGGCUCUCUGGGGAUCACCUGACGCUGAGGCGCGAAAGCGUGGGGAGCGAA
rnacentral:rRNA from 1 species